UUAUCUGGUAUAAAAAGUUUUGCCGGAUAGCAGACAAAAAGUCGGAAAUACAUUACGUUUUAUACCAGAUGAGC
ensembl:miRNA cin-mir-4179b cin-mir-4179b